rnacentral:tRNA from 1 species
CCAUCGGUGGUUCAGUGGUAGAAUGCUCGCUUGCCACGCGGGCCGCCCGGGUUCGAUUCCCGACCGAUGAC